AGGGGAAGGGAGAGAUUAGGGGAGGCUCUGCUCAGCUGUGGGGCCACAGAAGGCAGGAUCAGUGCUGACCUCCACCAUGGCCUGGUCCUUUCUCCUCCUCACCCUCCUCGCUCACUGCACAGGGUCCUGGGCUCAGUCUGUGCUGACUCAACCGCCCUCAGUGUCUGGGGCCCUGGGCCAGAGGGUCACCAUCUCCUGCACUGGAAGCAGCUCCAACAUCGGGAGUGGUGAAUAUGUGAGCUGGUACCAACAACUCUCAGGAACAGCUCCCAGACUCCUCAUCUAUGGUAAUAGCAAUCGACCCUCGGGGGUCCCAGAUCGAUUUUCUGGCUCCAAGUCUGGCAGCACAGGCUCCUUGACCAUCACUGGGCUCCAGGCUGAGGACGAGGCUGAUUAUUACUGCUCAGCGUGGGACAGCAGUCUCAGUGCUCACACAGUGCUCCAGACCUGUGGGGAAGUGACACAAAAACCUAGUUACUCAUUUGUGAAGAGCGUGAAUAAUCCAGCAGCUGCGUGCUCAGCUUAGUCUGUAAGUUCUGCUUAUUCUUUGGCUGAUGCCCUGCGCCCCGCUCCAUCCAGUUGCACCCCAUAGGAGUGAGGCUCCUCCUCUCCCUUCUCUCCUCAAGGUCACUCAGAUUAGUUCAUUCAUAGACAGAUGGUCGCUAUGGUACCAGAAAGUCCUGUCCUCAUGAACUAUGACAAUUUACUUCCAUGCUAGUUUAUAUUCAUUUAUUGUCUUCUGAUCUUUCAAUGAGUGAAACAUCUUCCCUGUUCUGAGCCUCUCGAUGGGGCCCUAGCACUGUCCCUGCUCUGCUAGAUGGGCAAAUCAACUCUCUUUGCAUCUGGUACCAUUUUGCUUAGCUUUAACCAGAUGACUAGUUUCGCUUGUACGCUGAUAUUUGUGGGGAAUACAGGAAACGUGCCGAACUGCAAAUUGAAAAGGUGAAAUAAAAACAAUCUGCCCAGAGGAAAUCUUGAA